GGGGCGUAGCUCAGCUGGGAGAGCGCUUGACUGGCAGUCAAGAGGUCAGGGGUUCGAUUCCCCUCGUCUCC
rnacentral:tRNA from 4 species